AUUUACUGUAUGCUGCUAAGGACUGAUUGCCAGGAGUGUAAGCCGCUUGGGAGCUUUUCCUGUUCGUCUGCUAGCAGCUAUUCGUAUGGUUCCUGUUCGUUUAUUUGAAGUGCUACCUUAUUCCCUUGUAUGCCGUUCGGGAGUUUGGAGCAUUCACUUGUAUGCAGUUCGAGUGUUUGGAGCAUUCACUUGUAUGCAGUUCGAGUAUUUGGACCAUUCACUUGUAUGCAGUUCGAGUGUUUGGAGCAUUCCCUUGUAUGCCGUUCGGGAGUUUGGAGCAUUCACUUGUAUUCAGUUCGUGAGUUUUGGUGAUUCUACAG